CUCAGCGUCAUUUAUACCAGAGUUGUUGUCUAAAGCGCGGAUUGCGGAGAGUAGCGGACUGUUGACACCAAUAUACACAGAUAUACAGUGUAUACACGGGUGAUACACAGCCUUAGUGUCCCUGGUGUAUCCCGCAGUGUUCAAGCGCAACACAGCAAGUGUAAUGACACAUGCUGUGGAAUGUGUUGCAUGUCGAGAGAAAAAAAAAACGUUGAAAAGUUGAGGCGGAAAAAAAGAGGAGGAAGAGAGAAGUGAAUGAUCAUAAGGUCAGGUAAAAGUCCGACUCACCGCGACACACUUCAGAGAGUCCAGGUCAUUGCUGGUCUAAUAUGGUGAAUGGACACACCCUCCUCAGCUUAAAGCGAUACAUACGCUUUGUGAAGAAUGGCAGUCACAAUCCCGUUGCUGCAACAAUUCGCAGAAAACCCACAAACUGAAGGUAAAUUCUCAGACGACGCUGAGGUCAGUCCUGAACCUUCAUCAAGUCAUGAGUAAAAGAGAAAAUAGAUGAGUAACCCAGAAAUCACAUCAGUUGAAAAGUUAAGGACACGGGUUGAAGUGAAGAGAAAGUUAAGGUCAGGUCCAGUUACCAAGCUUCUGGAGACGGGAGAGUUUGACAACAAUUCUGGGAAAGACAAAUCUCAACAGACAGAACCCGUUCCGUGGUUUGUUUGCAGUAUGUUAUUACGAUCUCGUGAGACAGAAUUCACACUAAGAUUAAUACUGUGUAUAAAGGUGGAUUCUACAAGACAGUGUCUAUGUAGGCUACGAGAGGAAUAUACAGCAUUUGUAAGCUUAUGGGAUGACUAUUUUUCUAACAAAGAAGAGACUUGUUGGUAUCAUCAAGGAGGAUAAAUAUUCUCUGUUCUUUAAAUCUGACCGGUGUCCCGUAAUUCGAUUGCCAACACACUCAGCUCACACAGUGAGGUCUGUGGUUCGAUCCCCGGUACGGAUGAAACAUUAGGACGGGUUUCAUUAAGACACCUGCUGGUAUGGGUCGCAUCCUGGAAACAAAAUUGACCUAAUUUGCCCGAAAUGCUCUACAUAAGAAGGGGCUUUUUU